rnacentral:lncRNA from 10 species
AGGGUUUCACCAUGUUGGUCACGCUGGUCUUGAAGUCCUGACCUCAUGAUCUGCCUGCCUCGGCCUCCCAAAUUGCUGGGAUUACAGGCAUGAGCCACUGCAUCUGGCCGAAAAUAACUUCUAAUGGAAAUUUUGACAAAGCUUCUUCGGGAAGUAACUUUGGGGGAAAUUUUGGGGGUGGUCUUUGCGUACAUGGUUCAGGAAAGUUUGUCUCACUGUCUAACUUCAUAGCUUUAUAAAUCAAAUUAAUGGUGUUGAGUUGUGGUAUAAUAUAGUUGGUCUUUAUUUGCCUCCAGUUCCUGGCACAGAGCUCCUAAAUUAUUAGAAUUUCUUGAGUGAUAGGUGUAUCUUUUGUUAUUCAUAAUGAGCUCCUUUUGACCAUACUAGAGUUUAUGUUAAUGAGGUGACUCAGGGUGGCCUUAGAUAGAUUUAGGUUGGGGACUGGUCCCCAGAAAGACCAAACAUGGGAUCAGAGGGUUGAACAUUUAACCCCACCCUCCAACCUCCCGGGAGGGGAGAAAGGCUGGAGAUUGAGCUCAAUCACCAAUGGCCAAUGAUUUGAUCAAACACACCUACAAAACAAAGCUUUGAUAAAUACUCUUGAACAGUGAAAUUUAGAGAGCUUCUGGGUUGGUAACAUUGAUGUGGUGGGAGAGUGGCACCGUGGAAGAGGACAUGGAAGUGUGACUGUAACAGGUUCCUUACCUAAAGCAUGGCAAGUGGACACACUGACCUCAAGGAUUGCAGCAGAGAAAGGGUUUAAUAAUCAUAGGGCAUCUGAACAAGGAGAUGGAAGGAAACCUCAGAUUUGCCUCCCUGAGGAGUUUGUAAGGGGUUUGGAGUGGGCUGAGGUGUGGGGAUUGCAGGGUGAAGUCAUGGACUGGAGAGAUGAAGAAACUGCAUUCUCAUGUUGAUUCAGCUCUUCUGUGGGGAUUGCAGGGUGAAGUCAUGGACUGGAGAGAUGAAGAAACUGCAUUCUCAUGUUGAUUCAGCUCUUCUGUGGGGAUCCUCAAACUGGUUGUGGAUGUCAGCUGUUCUGCUGGAAUUCAGGAUCUGAAGAACAUCUUAAGCAACUCUUAAACAAAAGCCUCAUGAUUCCAACAUCCGAAAUCCCAUCUAUAGAAACAAUGUGGAUGCAAAUGACUGUGAGCACAUGGAAGACUAACAUGGGCCUUAAUGCAACUUCAUUCACAUACCAGGGGGAAAUCCAGGUUCUGCAGGCCUGAAGCUUACAUAGUUUGGGGAAGGAAGGAUUUUUCAAAAGAAUACAAAAUUAGGUAUGAAGAAAUCACAACCAAUUACAAGUAUAAAAAGCUAAUAAACACAACAUCUAUGAAAAUGAAAUGUUUUUCUUUAUUAACUGCCUGACACAUCUCUAUAUUUUUCCUACUUUUUUGGCUUGUCUUCUUCGAUUACCUCUUUCUUUUUCUUUUCUUCCUAUUUUUUUUUUUUUUUCUGAGACAGAGUUUCACUCUUGUUGCCCAGGCUGGAGUGCAAUGGCUUGGUCUCAGCUCACUGCAACCUCUGCUUUCUGAGUUCAAGUGAUUCUCCUGCCUCAGCCUCCCAAGUAGCUGGGAUUACAGGUGUGCACCACCACACCCAGAUAAUUUUGCAUUUUAAAUACAGACGGGGUUUCACCAUGUUGGUCAUGCUGGUCUCGAACUCUUGACCUCAGGCGAUCCACCCGCCUCAUCCUCCCAAAGUCCUGGGAUUACAGGCAUGAGCCGCUGGGCCCAGCCUUCGAUUACCUCUUUCAUAUGACAAUAAUUUAUAAGAUCAUUUCCUAUAUUGAAUAGAAAGGUCGUUCAUGCUUUUCUCUAGCAUGGUUGAUCAACAUGUUUUCUAAUAUUUCCUAGAAAAGCUUAUUUCAGUUCCCCAAUUCAUUAUUGCUAAGUCAUGUAAAUUUUUACAAAUGCUAUCAAAUUUUGGAAACCUCUACCAAGUGUCUUACAUAGAUGGGUUAUAACAUUUCAGGGCAUUUCAAAUUAUGACACAGUGACUAAACUUAACUGUUCUUUGUAUUGACCAUACUCCUAUUAACCAGUGUAUCAUCAAUGCCCUGCACCAUCAGGUCACAACAUCAGAUGACUUGUCAUGUUGAAGAGUACAAGUAUUCCUACCAGCCAUUCCUAAGCUGGGAUGGCCAGCAUAGCUUAACUAUUUACAGAAAUGGCUGCCCAAACACAUAAACGUAUCCCACUAAAGCCCAAAUAAAUGUAUUCCUAGCCCAAAUUACCUUAGAGGAAUCUCAAAAUGACUGUGAAUCUCCAAUGCCACUAGACACAAGGGAGAACUGAAGUAAAGAGGAAGUCAAAGUGGAAAGAGAUAGUAAUCUUAAUCAAUUGUGGUUAGAGUAUCUUACCUCUGCAAAUUUUGCAAAAACAUAUGACCACAUAAAUAUAUCGCUAGGUGCCUUCUUGGAAGAGGCACAUGACACUGAGGGUCUUUGAAGCUGAAGCUUUACUGGCUUCAUGUCAGAUUCCUGCCUGCCUCACACAGUACUGGUCACAAAACAGGUACUUUACAAGUAUUUGCAGAGUGCACGAAUGAGAGUUCAUCUGUGUGCAGUCUGUCGAACGGCAGUAAUGAUAGCAUGGGCAGGGAAGGAGUGAGUAAGUGCUUUGAGUCCAUUACCCUAAGUCAGGGACUGCCUGUGUCCUUUCCUUUUAAAAUUUGUUCCAAUGUAGUAGAAGAAAUACAAGGUUCCUCUGGUUAAAAACAGUGAAAUGAUUAAAUCUUUACAGCUCUGAAAAUAACUUUUGCAGCACAUACCUCAUAGUCUGUCCUUGCUGCCUAAAAGCAAAGAGAGCUGGCAAAUCCACUGGGUAAUAAGGAGGCCUCCAACCUCCCUGCCGCCUUCAUUUUGAAUAUCCACCCCCCAACUCCGCCACCCCGCAAGUCACUUUGCCUCAAUACCCUGACAAGCAUCUUGAUCAUUUGGGGGCAUUCUUUAGAAACUUUGAUAUGAAAAGGCCUUUCUCAUCUUCAGAUCAGUGCUUAAGUUCUACAUUCAUCAAAU